AUUGAACGCUGGCGGCAUGCUUUACACAUGCAAGUCGGACGGCAGCACAGAGAAGCUUGCUUCUUGGGUGGCGAGUGGCGAACGGGUGAGUAAUAUAUCGGAACGUACCGAGUAAUGGGGGAUAACUAAUCGAAAGAUUAGCUAAUACCGCAUAUUCUCUGAGGAGGAAAGCAGGGGACCUUCGGGCCUUGCGUUAUUCGAGCGGCCGAUAUCUGAUUAGCUAGUUGGUGGGGUAAAGGCCUACCAAGGCGACGAUCAGUAGCGGGUCUGAGAGGAUGAUCCGCCACACUGGGACUGAGACACGGCCCAGACUCCUACGGGAGGCAGCAGUGGGGAAUUUUGGACAAUGGGCGCAAGCCUGAUCCAGCCAUGCCGCGUGUCUGAAGAAGGCCUUCGGGUUGUAAAGGACUUUUGUCAGGGAAGAAAAGGCUGUUGCUAAUAUCAAUAGCUGAUGACGGUACCUGAAGAAUAAGCACCGGCUAACUACGUGCCAGCAGCCGCGGUAAUACGUAGGGUGCGAGCGUUAAUCGGAAUUACUGGGCGUAAAGCGAGCGCAGACGGUUACUUAAGCAGGAUGUGAAAUCCCCGGGCUCAACCUGGGAACUGCGUUCUGAACUGGGUGACUAGAGUGUGCCAGAGGGAGGUAGAAUUCCACGUGUAACAGUGAAAUGCGUAGAGAUGUGGAGGAAUACCGAUGGCGAAGGCAGCCUCCUGGGAUAACACUGACGUUCAUGCUCGAAAGCGUGGGUAGCAAACAGG
rnacentral:rRNA from 1 species